rnacentral:rRNA from 1 species
UACGGGGGGGGCAAGCGUUGUUCGGAAUUACUGGGCGUAAAGGGCUCGUAGGUGGCCAACUAAGUCAGACGUGAAAUCCCUCGGCUUAACCGGGGAACUGCGUCUGAUACUGGAUGGCUAGAGUUUGGGAGAGGGAUGCGGAAUUCCAGGUGUAGCGGUGAAAUGCGUAGAUAUCUGGAGGAACACCGGUGGCGAAGGCAGCUUGCUACACAAUUAUUGACACUGAGGCUCGAAAGCGUGGGGAUCAAACAGG